rnacentral:misc_RNA from 1 species
AGUAUGACAAAAACAAUGCAAGAGAAGUAAAAAACACAAAAAGAACGGCCAAGGAUUCAAAGUUCCCAGCAGAAGAUCAACGAUCAAGAAAACACUAUUGUUCAAGCAGGUUGAAACACUCAAAUCGAGAUGCCGGAGCCAAGUGACUAUCCAAAUUGAAAAUAUCAAAACACCAAAUUCCAAGCAAUAAAUUGCUUAGGGGGAAAGGACAAACUCAGUAAAUGGCCGG